GGGCGGAUUCAGAACACUUCCGGGAGGUCACUCUGUAGGUGUCUGGGAUGUAUGCUUCCGGCGGCUUGCAGGCUCCCUCCUCAGAUUCCGGGACCACCCGGCUGAAGUAGUGGGCCCAGAACAGUGGACAGGCAGCCCAUUGGUUGUUGGGCCCAGCCGUCUCUCACCAUGGACCGGGACCUUCUGCGGCAGUCACUGAAUUUCCACGGGCCUUCAUUGCUCUCCCUGCUCCGGAGCGAACAGCAGGACAAUCCGCACUUCCGGAGCCUCCUGGGCUCGGUGGCAGAGCCUCCGCGGGGCCCGCCACCCCAGCAGCAGUUACAGGGCAGAAAAGAGAAGAAAGUUGACAACAUUGAAAUACAAAAAUUCAUUUCCAAAAAAGCGGAUCUGCUUUUUGCACUUUCCUGGAAAUCAGGUACACCUACAACUUCUGAAAUUAAUGAAGAUAAUGAAGAUCAUUAUGCAGUCAUGCCACCUUUAGAGCAGUUCAUGGAGAUACCUGGCUCUAUGUCCAUUAAGAGAUGUGCCUUCUCUCAGUAACCAUGGGGAUCCUUUAUCAUAUUACCAGACUGGUGACAUCAUUCGAGCUGGAAUCAAGGAUAUUGACAGAUAUCAUGAAAAGCUUGCAGUAUCUCUAUAUAGCUCAUCUCUUCCAUCACACCUAUCUGGUAUUAAAUUAGGUGUAAUUAGUUCCGAAGAACUUCCUUUGUACUACAGGAGAAGUAUUGAACUAAAUAGCAAUUCUUUGGAAUCUUAUGAGAAUAUCAUGCAAAGUUCUUUGGGAUUUGUUAAUCCAGGCGUAGUUGAAUUCCUUCUAGGAAAACUAGGAAUAGAUGAAUCUAAUCCACCAUCUUUAAUGAGAGGCCUACAAAGCAAAAAUUUCUCUGAAGAUGAUUUCGCUUCUGCCUUAAGAAAGAAACAGUCUGCAUCUUGGGCUUUAAAAUGUGUGAAGAUUGGAGUUGAUUAUUUUAAGGUGGGACGCCAUGUGGAUGCUAUGAAUGAAUACAAUAAAGCUCUGGAAAUAGACAAACAAAAUGUGGAAGCUUUAGUAGCUCGAGGAGCAUUAUAUGCAACAAAAGGAAGUCUGAACAAAGCAAUAGAAGAUUUUGAGCUUGCUUUGGAAAACUGUCCAACUCACAGGAAUGCAAGAAAAUACCUUUGCCAGACACUUGUAGAAAGAGGAGGGCAGUUAGAAGAAGAAGAAAAGUUUUUAAAUGCUGAAAGUUACUAUAAGAAAGCUUUGGCUUUGGAUGGAACUUUUAAAGAUGCAGAGGAUGCUUUGCAGAAGCUUCAUAAAUACAUGCAGGUGAUUCUUUAUUUCCUCUUAGAAAUUUAGCAAUACUGAAAUUAAUGCAAAAACUCGACUUUCUUCUAAGGAAAAUUAUUAUAAAUCACUUAAGACAUUAUGAAGUUUUUUUAGAUAGAGCUUUUCUUAAUUGGGUUUGAUAGUACUUCAUAGUUUUGUUAAUUCUCAAAAGUAAAAAUAGUCCUGUGAGAAAAUUCCCUUUGCCUAAAUUUGGUAUGUGAUUUUGAGAACUUCUAGUAGUGAACAUUCCUGGUGGUUACAGAAUUCAGUAUUGUUACUAUAAUUGAUCUAAUUAUAAAAACCUUUUUGAGAAAUAUUUUAAACUGUCUUUUCCUGUAAUACUGAUGAUGAUGUUUUCUCAUGCAUUUUCUUCUGAAUUGGACCAUUGCUGCUGUGUCUGUGACAUCUGGUGCUGCUCAUCCCCAUCCUCAAACUGGAAAAUGAUUUCUUAUGUAAUCAUGCAUCCAACUGGGCUGUGCUAUUUUUUAAAUGGUUUGUAUUUGAACAUGGUGAUUCUCCCCUCAAUUCACCUUAAUGGAAUUUCCUUAUUUGCAUUUUAUUUAUAAAAUUUAUGUCUUGUUUAAAUUUUUAAUUUUUUUAAAAAUAAUUUUUCAUGUACUUUAUUUUUUUCUCUUUCUUGCACUCUGGGCCAUGGGUACCAAUGCAAUGGCUUCCACUUUUUUUCAUGGAAUACCAACUGCAAUAUGGUCUUCAAUGCUCUUCUGGCUGUUCCAAUGAUUAAUGCCAAACACCUGUGUGAUUAAUUUUUAUAUGUUAAAAUCACUUGUUUAAUACUGGAUAUAUGGUGAUUUGGGUAUACCACAUUUGGUUUCUGGUUGGGGGUGGUCUUUUGAAAACUGGGCUUUAUAUAUUCUGCUAUUUUUAACGUGUGGUUUUUUCCGAUAUCUGGGUUCUAAAAGAAAUCUUUGGAAUUAAGAGAAAAACAAGCUGAAAAGGAAGAAAAGCAGAAAACAAAGAAAAUAGAAACAAGUGCAGAAAAGUUGCGUAAGCUCUUAAAAGAGGAGAAAAGGUAAACUAUAAUAUUCAGUAUUUCUUAACUUAAAGCAAGUACUGAGUUGAACCAGAGUGCCAUACGGGAGGUAAAGUAAGUAAAAAGUAAGUGUUUCAACUCAAUCUACAAUUCUUGGCAAGUGUGUAUACCAUAAAAUUUUCUAUAAAAGAGAUAAAGCAAAGUGAAAUCUAAGGCUAGACUUGUGGGAAAAAAAAUGUAACCUUAGAAUUAAAAUAUCUAGUAAGCUGUUUUAAUUAUCUUUGUUUGAGGGAGAAAUGUUUUAGAACUAGAGCAGUAAUUCUCAACUGGGAGCAGAUUGGUCCCCCUGUGGAAUAUUUUUGGUUGUCAUAACUGAUAGAAUGUUAUUGGCAUUUAGUGCGUAGAGGUUAGGGAUGCUGCUAAACUUAAUACAGAGAUGUAGGAUCCCCCACUGCCACUCUAUGCUCCCAACAAAGAAUUAUUCAGCAAAAAAUAUUAAUAGUGCUAAGGUGGAAAAACUAUGAACCAGAGGUAACCAAAUAUAAAACCUUAGUUUUCUCCUUUUAUGUGUUCAGAUGAUCUUGUGCUUUUAAGGUAAUAUUGGAAAUGUCACUGUGUCUUUCAGAAAUGAUAGGUUUGCUUACAGUGACAACUAUCUACACAAGUAUUUUUUCCCAAAAGUUAUGAAUAAUGAUAAAAUUAGACAUCAUAAUAACAGAGUAUUAUAACAAUUCCUUAUCUAAACUACAACUUUGAUAAAAUCUUUAUAAAAUAGAGAAUGAAUUAGAACUAACGGCUUUAUGGAUAAUUAAAUGUUUUUAUAGUCAACAUAUCUAAUGAGUUAACUACAUUUUUUUAGGCUAAAGAAAAAAAGAAGAAAAUCAACUUCUUCCUCUUCAAGUGUUUCUUCUGCUGAUGAAUCAGUUUCUUCAUCAUCCUCUUCCUCUUCGGGGCACAAAAGGCAUAAGAAACAUAAGAGGAAUCGCUCAGAGUCUUCUCGAAGUUCCAAAAGGCAUUCAGCUAAGGCAUCCUCAAAUCAGAUAGAUCAGAGUAAGAAAGAUGAGUGCUUCCCAGUUCCAGCCAAUACUUCAGCAUCUUUUCUUAACCAAAAACAAGAAGUGGAAAAACUACUGGAAAAGCAGGAUAGGUUACCAUAUCAAAAGAAACAGGUAAAAGAAAAAGAUAGAUGCCCUUUCUCUUCAUCUUCAGUUGAAAUUCCGGAUGAUUUUGGAGGUAGGUCUGAAUAUCCAAGAGAUUUUUGUAAUAGCUAUAAAACUCAGGCAGGUAGUAGCAAAACAGAAAAGCCAUAUAAGUCAGAAAGACAUUUAUCCAGUAGAAGAGAUUCCUCAGAUUCCUUCUAUAGGAAUUCAGAGGAAAAGAUUAAAAUUUAUGGUUAUAGAAGAUUUGAAAAAGAUAUAGAAGGAAGAAAAGAGCAGUAUAGAAGGUGGGAGACAGGUUCCGUGAAAUAUUCCACUUCACCAGCAAGCUCAGAAUACUCUUCAAAAUCAGUUGAAAAGUAUAAAAAAUAUACUUAUUCUGGAUCACGUGAUUUCAGUAGACAUGAGCAACGAUAUGAAUUAAAUAAAAAUCAAGGAGAAUAUGAAAGAGAGGGUAAUUAUGAGGAGGAUGCUAAAACUGAGGUCCCAGAAGAAGAAGGACUAAAUAGCAAAGAGCAUUCAGAAAGUGGAGUUAAAAAAAAUUUACCUCAAAAUUUACUCAAUAUAUUUAAUCAGAUAGCUGCAUUUGAGAAAGAAAAAGGAAGUAAGCCAAAAAAUUAAUAUGCCAAAGGGAUCAGUUCCAUUACACUAAAGGCUUUUAUUGAAAGAAUUAGGUCUUUUAGUUCUAAUAGCCCAGUGCAGAAAUCUCUGCUCUUGUGGUUAUUUUGUUUGUAGAGAUUAUAGAAAUCAAAUGCUUUUUAUAGCUAUUCUCAAAGUAUAUUUGUUUCAGUUGUAGGUCCCCUUUGCUUGAUUUUUUAGGUAUUUCAUACGUGUGUUUAUGUACAGUAUUUCUUACUCUGAUGAUUUAAACUUCUUCAUCUAAAGAUAACUCAAAGUAUUGUUCCUUCUUUGUAUUACGGUGUAUGAGAAUUCCUUGGGUCCACCUUAUCCUACUGUUUGAGAGAAAAUUAAAUUUGUGUAUUGAACAGUUGGUUGUUUUUAUCAAAAAUUACUUAAUUCCCUUUUCUGUUAAAAGCCCUUGGCUUUUGAAAGAGAUAUUGCUGAAUGUUCCUUAAGUACCAUUAAAUAUUAAAUUUUUUGCAUAAUGUUUAUUUUAAAAUGGUAGACAGAUUAUCUGUCUUGUCUAAUUGACCUCUAAAGUCUGAUUUAACUAAAAUGGUUUAUGUACCAGCUGUUUGACUAGUAUCUUAGGAAUAAAGCCAUAAAGUUGAUUUCUCUUUUUUUCCCCUUCUUGCUAGCAGUAUAGCCCUAAGAAAUUUCUUUAAAUAUUGGUAAGACCCUAAGAGACUACAUUCCAGGCUAUUCAAGAAUAGAUCAGAGUAGAAAAGACUGCUCUUAUUCAAAAAAAAAAAAAAAAAAACAAAACAAAACAGUGGCAAGAGAAGCACACUAUAUAUCUGGUUUUCCACUAAGGGAAAGAAAAUUAGGAAACUGUCCUACUAUUGCAGAUGUCCAGUUAGGAAGGCACUAAGCAUGUUUGUAAAUAGCCUAGAGCUGGCCUACAUUUCUGCUUUUCUUCCUUCACACCUUUCCUCCAAUACCUCCUUUCUCUGACAGAACCUGACAAUACAUUUCAGCAAUUAGAGUUAAAGAAGGAAGGAACUUGGAUCAUAAGGAUCCUCCCAAAUUAUUGAAAACUGUAUAGAAUGGAAUAGAUGUAAAUAGGAGUAACAGGAGUUUAUAAUCAGCUUUUGAAUCCUUCCAACUCAUGAUACUGGAUGGGUAGGAUGGAGGGUAGUGAGAACCCAUCUACAAAGGUCUGUGUGAAAAGAACAAUAGAGAAAAAAAACAUUUAGUCCUUGUCUGUUUCACAGCUCUUGCCAACAGUAAAUUACCAAAACUUUUAAGUAUAGCUGGGUGUGUAUUGUUUGCGAUCUUCAGACUUCAGAGAUGGGAGCUUAAUGAAAAAGCUAAAAUUUGUUUUUGAAUGGAACAGAAAGAGAAACUCUGGUCAAAAUCAAUAGGUAAUAGCAGUAGAAAUCAGUCACUUUGGCAUUAAUCUUUGCACCAAGCAAUCCAUCUUCUGAAGAGUCCCUAGUUCUUCCCAUGUAUUAAAUAUUUCUGAUAUCAUCCCUACAUAGUCUUACAUAGUGGUGUUUUAAAGAGUGGAAACUCUUGACAUACGCCUUGACCUUUAGGAAUUCCUAAUACAGCUUCAGAAUUUUACGUACACUUCAUUUAAUAAAAGCUCUUUGAGCAUCACUCUCAAACAGCGUUGUCAUUUUCCAAAGCACCUUUGUGACUUAAUGUUACUUAAUUCAGGUACAAAAAAAUUAUUAUAGUACCUUACUCAGCCUGCCUGAAUUUAGAAAUUCCAUCUUCCUCAAAGCUUCUUUCCUGGGGCAUAUAUAAACUUAAGCAGAUUAUUUAAGACAAUUUCUAAGGCUAUGUUCAGGAAACCCAUCAUAGCAAAAAAAUAUCAUUAGAGAUUUACUUGUGAAGAAUCCCUAGUGAUAAAUAACUUCAGCACUUUUUUUUUCCUUAACAUCAUUAUGUCUGCAGUUUGUACAUACUCAGGCUAUAUCUUGGUGACUUUAACAAUAUGUGAACGUUAUAGUAACUUUCCAGAUUUGGGGGUGAUGGGGUUGAUCCCUUGUCUCACCAUUUAACAGUAUUACACUGAAGAUGAAACUGUUACUUAAGAGUAAAAUACAAACUUGUAUACUGGCCUGAGAACCUCACUGUUGCACAAAUAUUGUGUUAGGCUUUGGUUGGUGGCUCAGUAAUAGGUAGAAGUUAUUGUGCAAUUCCAGUGUGUCAGGCUCUGUGCAUUUUGUGUAUAUUAUCUGAUUAUUUCAAUAAACUUUCAAUAUAGGAAGCUGUCUCUAUAUUACAAAUGAGAAAAUAAAGCUUAGAGAGUUAACUUCCCUAGAGUCACAAAACUAUUAAGAUGUAACACCUGCCUUCAUAGAAUACAGUGUUAAUAUUUCAACUUCCAAGUAAUUUACAAAAUAGGGUGGAGAAUGAGAACUUUGGUAAACAUGCAAAGUGACCAUAAAACCAUCAGUUUUUAGGUCUUAAAAAAUCUCACCAAAACAAUUAAAAAAAAACUCAGCUUUUUAAACCACAUUAUUUAUUGUACUUGGCUAUGACUUUUGCUGGCUAUUCCUAAAUAAUAAUAAUGAUAGUAAAAAAAUAAUGAUCAGAAAAAUAAAUAAAUAAAUAAAUAAAUAAAUAAUGAUCAGGAGAAAUAAGUUUAUUACCACUAUUGCCUUUCAGAAGGAACUGCAAAUGACAGUUCUAAACAAUGACAGUUGUCAAAACAAAUUUUUUUUCCCCAAGGUUUGAAAGAGACAGUACUCAUUUAAGUACAUAGAAUCUCAUGUUUAUUUGAAAAUCAGUUUUUUAACACAGUCAUACUUCACCCUCAAUUCCAAGAGUUCAAAGUGUCAGGCGCAUGUUACAAUAAAGCAUUGACUGGAAUAACUAAAUCCGGUAGUCUGCCUUUACUGCAAAUUUAUGGAAUUUCCAUUGCAAUUCUAAUCACACUGAGCUUUCUUUAAAUUUUUUAUUAAAUGAAGAAAGUCUUGAAAAAUACAUUCUUGGUUGUAUCUUGAAAGCAAAAUCUCUAAUAUGUUUAACUUCUUUCAGGAUCAGAGUGGACUACUUUCUAGAAAUUUAAGCUACACUUUUAUUGCUACACAGUGGUUCUCUUUUCUGUCAGUUUUCUUUGUGGAAAGGAAGGUAAUGGGUUUUUUGGGGGUUUUUUUGUUUGUUUUUGACUAAAAAUGUUUAAAUUUUGCUCAAAGAGAAACUAAUAGAUUUCUUCCCCCAAAGUCCAGGAAGUAUGUUUAUUUUAAUAAAGAAAACUAAUUUUAGGAUCUGCUAAUGUAAAAGAAUUUUAAUAGUGUUAUAAACUAUAGUACAGUGAAUCUUGAAUUUCUUCCUGAAAGAUGCAGUUACGUUAGAAGUAAGAGUAGUUUCAUGGCAAGCAUGAAAUAAUGAAGCAACUUUUUCUAAUAUAACAAACAUCAGAAUAACAGUGAAAAACAUCAUCUCCCUAUGUCUGUAUAACACAUAUCCUUAUUAAGAAUCUGUUGUUACUGCUUUCCCUCUAUGUGAAGAAAAUAGUAGGAAAAAAACUAAGAAAGUUAAACAUUUCUUUGGUCUAUUUGGACCCAAACUACUUGACUUAAAAAAACACUUUUUGUGUUUUCCACUAGGUAAAACUUUCAUCUGGUUGUUUUGUAUUUCUAACACUCUGAGUAUGCCUUUACCUCUAUUAUAAACAUGUGGCACUCAAAAGCAUAGCCUGGGAUAUUACUAUUUUAAAAUUAUGAGAUUUUUGUUUUUGUGUUUAUAACUUGUUCAAAAGAGAGAUUAAAAUGUUUAUUUGUUGCUCUUUUUGCUUUUACCAUUACUGGAGCCACUGCUAACACUCGCUGGUCUAGAAGUGCUGCCAAUUAGUGGAGAGGCUGGGAAGUUUAGCUCUAAUACUUUAAUUGAAGUCUGAGAAGUAGAAGUACUUGUACUCUUAGACGACCUAGAAUAAAAUCAGAAUUACUGUAAAUUUAAUUCAAAAUUUUUAUUUCAGUAGAGACCCCCUCUAAUGGCAAAAGAUGCCAUAAUUCCACAAGUAAUUAAAGAAGUCAAAAAAGAUAAUUAAUGCUAUUAAUAAUGCUAAUAAAUUUUAAAAGCAUGACCAUUAAUCAUAUCAAGAAAUUAGUUUAAAAGGAAAAGAAAGGUGGUAAAGUUUCAAACCAGUAGAAAAAUAGUUCAGCAAAUCUAUAUGAAAAACAUUUUCAACUAUAAUCAAUUUAGAAAUAGAAUCAUUAUAUAUUAAAAAUUCAAAAAUCAUUAAAUAUAAAAGGUAACAAAAACCAGGGACAUGGGAAUUUGGGUGCUGGCAAGAGUGAUUAAAAUGACAGGUUAUAUAAUUUAAGCCAAAAAAAAGUGAGAGGCCUAUUGACGGAUGAAGUGGUGGGGCCAUUUGAAAGCCAUACAGUUAUAAAUACUAAGUUUUUAAAAUACCUAUAUAUUUUAUAAAAGUACAGUGUUGUUCAAGUGGCUAUUAGCUAUGUUUACAUAGAAGGUGGUUUGGUUUUGUUUUUACUUAGUCUUUUAGGAAAUCCUUUUAUGACAUGUCUACAUAAGCUAAGGGAAAAUAAUGUGGCUGCUGAAUGUGGGAAAUUAAAUUAGGAUCAUCAUUAAUAAUUUUUAUUUUGUCAGCAAAGCAUAAGAAUGCUGACUAAAUAUCUACUUGAUAGAAUUCUGGAUAAAACUAAACUGCAGAAGUAAAGAAUAAUUUCCCUUUUUUAGCAAAAUAAAGCAGCAUAAAUAAAAUUCUGACUAUUUAAGAUUUUAUAAUGGGUUUUAAUCAUAAAAAUCUUACUCCAAAAGUCUGUACAGCUAAGUUGCCCUUUUAUGGUUUAAAUUCUACCCAUACUCAGAGUUGACCAUGCUAGGUGUACCCUCCAGAAUUUCACCCUGUUUUAUCCUAGUGAAAUAGCUGCUAGUCACAAAGCCCUAUAUGCCAAAGUGGAAAUGAUAGCACCAGACAAAAGUCAGAAGGAAAGAGUCUUGCUCUGCUGGCUGUUUCCUGCAUCUGUGACACUGGCAUGGGAAGGCAGAGGAGAGCAUUAGCAAUGCACUGGCAGAUCCAGCAGCUGUGGCAGUGUGUAAGUGGCUGGGCUCACUCAGAAUGAAAGCUGUGAGAGUUGUAGGUAAGUUAGUUAAAGAGAUGAUGUGUUAGCCUUCCACUUACCUUGCUGAUGAUAACAGUGAAGUCUGUGAAGGAGAUCUGGAACUGUGAUGACUGCCUUUAGUGCUAGCUGUAGGUAGUUCUAAACCACUCUGGAAGAAUAUUCAAUAGCAAUCGUCACUGCCACUACAUUUUAGAAUAUUUUUAAAUAAGAUUUCACUUUAUUUUGAAUGACAAAUUUAUUUUCAUGAAGUGUUUAAGAAGUAUUUAUAUUUAAUAGAAGGUAAUCUUGUUUACCUGUUGGAAGUAUGUCUGAAGGAUAGUACCAAUCUCAGCAUUUUCUUCUGCAAUAUCCGCUAACAUUUCAUCAAUGAUUUUAUGAAGCCGUUUCACUUCACGAAGUUUGAUAUCAUGUUCUUCUAAUGUUACAUCUUUAGUGUCUUUCAAAAGACGGAUUUCCUUGGUGAGUUUUGCACACUGUUAGUCAAUAGAAUAAUUUUUAAUGGAUACAUGAGGAUUUGGGGUUACCAUUUGGAACUCUCAAAAACAUGAAUAUGACAGGUCAAGUUUUUAAAAGUUAUCAAUACCUGUUUAGUUACUCUCUCUAAUUUUGGCUUCUGCUCCUCAGUUUCUCUGCUUAGUUGAAGUGCAUAAGCUUGCUUCUCUGACAUUUUUUCUUUGACAUUAUUUGUUACAUGUUCUAUAACUGCUAAGGUAUUUUCCAUGCUCUGCAAAAAAUACAGUAUUAACAUACUGGUUAGAAUCAGAAAUAACUCUUAGAAUUUGCCAUUUGUCGAGUUUUUAUUUAAAUCUGACUUAAUUUAUUUUUGUAUAUAAUGUAUAUCCUAUCAAUAUCAUUUAUAAUAAGUAUAAUGGUUUUAUGGUUUAAGUUCUAUAUAUAAUUCUAUUGGAAAGUAUUUUUAUGGUAUUUGGGAGAAAAAUUACUCAAACAAUGACCACUGAAAAUAUUUAAUUUUCAAAGAUUACCAAUUUUUGUCAUCUGUUCCUUCAACUUUAUAAGUUAAAAAAAAAAUCUAAUGUUUACAUAGAGCCUGCUUAUUACCAAACAUGUUUUUUCUCAUCUUUCAAAUGUUUUUGUUUUAAAGAACAGUCUUUAAGGUAAUCUGAAAGGAUUUAAGAGAAACAAAAGUUCCAGGAGUUCCCAUUGUGGCUCAGCAAUGUAUCCAUGAGGAUGUAGGUUCAAUCCCUGGCCUUGCUCAGUGGGUUAAGGAUCCGAUGUUGCCGUGAUCUGUGGUGUAGGUCACAGACCCAACCUGGAUCUGGCAUUGCUGUGGCUGUGGCAUAAGUCAGCAGCUGCAGCUCCAAUUUGACCUCUAGUCUGGGAACUCCAUAUGCCACAGAUGCAGCUGAAAUGAGCAAGGUUAGUGGAUAGAUCAUAAUUAGCUAGCUCUGAUUUCAUCAACUAACAAGUAACCGUCAGAGGUCUAACCUGUGCUUAGCACUGAGAUUUUAACUAAUUUAGUUAAUACUUUGAUCACUUAUUUUUUCUCAUUUAAACUUUAUCUUCUCUCAAAAAUUGUAUUUGUGCAAGAUAACAAGAGAGUAGGAUAAAAAUAAUGAUAGUUAACUUUUACAAAGGGCUUAUUAUUAAAGUCUGUAGAAUAUACCUGGAUAUCUUCCUGUAGUUCUCUGAUCUGUCUUUGUUUGUAUCUGUAUUUUUCAUCAACAGCUCUUUUUUGUUCUUCUAGUUGGAUUUUUAGCUCAUACUCAUCACCUAGAAUUUAAAGACUUUUUACUUAAAAUUUUGAACAUGCUGUAUAAAAAGCAACCUUCAAAUCUUACCUAAAUUAAACCUUUAACAUGUUUUUUCUGGCCAUGCCUACGGCAUACGGAAGUUCCCAGGUCAGGGACUGAAUCUGCAUCACAGCUGUAACCUGGGCCCAGCAGUGACAACACCAGAUCCUUAAGCCGCUGAGCCACCAGGGAACUCCUUGGACGUUUUUUGCUGUUAAAGGUUAAAUUCCUUAUGUCUACUUGUUGAAAAACAGGGCAUGAAGUAGCUAUUCUUAAUUUGUCAACACAGAGCAGGCAAUAUGCUGCUCUUUUCUUCAGAUUUGAAAUUAAUUCCCUAUAGAAGUGUUGUAUGUCAUGUCUAAAACCAAUAAUGGAACAACUUAGCACUUAUUUUAAAGGAGGGGGCUGAUUGAUUUUUUCCAAACUCAAUCAAACAUGGUAUGUUUUUGUUUUUCUUAUCUCAGUGUUCCUCUUUUUAAAUAACUCUACAGCUUUCAUUGCCUGUAUAUUCAUUAAAAAGUUUUAAUAAUU